AAUAUGGAGAGUUUGAUCCUGGCUCAGAGUGAACGCUGGCGGCGUGCCUAAUACAUGCAAGUCGAACGAUGAAGCUUUUAGCUUGCUAGAAGUGGAUUAGUGGCGCACGGGUGAGUAAGGUAUAGUUAAUCUGCCCUACACUGGGGGACAACACUUAGAAAUGAGUGCUAAUACCCCAUACUCCUAUUUAGCAUAAGUUAGAUAGGGAAAGUUAAUAACGCUCUAUAGAUAACUUGAUAGAUUCCAAACUUUCCCUCCCAUUAUAUUAAUGGGACGGGGGCUUUAGGUGGGUCAAGGGAGCGUAGCUCCUUGUCACAAAGACGGACUUUGUUCGUCUGCGAAGUUAUGUAUAGAGUGUUUUUCGGUGUAGGAUGAGACUAUAUAGUAUCAGCUAGUUGGUAAGGUAAAGGC
rnacentral:rRNA from 1 species